GAGAGCACCGACACUUGUCAGGGUUGUAGCAGGGGUGAUAAGCCAGGUGCGGGAGGCCAGCAGGGGAGCGUGGGCACCGUCUGCCCCAGCCAGAGAGGCCGAGUCAUCUGCACCCAGCAGCUGCAGCUCUGCACCUCUCCCUAGCGCUCAGGGGCUGUGCCCCCACCAUGCCAACGCCUUCUGGGCACACACUAACGGCUUCGUGGCACCCUUGCUGCUGCCAUGAUCAUUCCUAAAUAUUCCCAUUUCUUUCUGCGAGGGAGGGUCAGAAGCAGAGUGGCAGCCUGAACUUACGGUACAAUCACUCAUCACUCCUCAUUCCUACCAUCACACAGAUACCACAUUACAAGCCCAAGUGAAACCUGCAUUAUUUGCUUUCACAAGGAAAGUAUUUCCCACCCAGAAGACAUAAUAAAGGAUAGCAUUUGUGAGAGGAAGUUCCAGCAGCCAGCUCCUACCUCCAGCCUGUCUGUCCUCAUCAGCUUCUGGGCGGCGGCGGCGGCGGCAGCAGGAACCGGCACGCCGGGGUUCCCUGUCACCAGCAUCGGGGCCGUGGGCAGGAUCUCAGCAGGGACCAGGCCUGGGGACACGGGCCCCAGGUAGGGGUUGAAGGCGGCUGACGCGUUGGUGGCUAAGCUCGGUGCGACAGAAAACAUUGGCUGCAAGGGGAGACAGGGAAACAGACACUUAACAUUUGGUGUGCAGCAGCUUGCCAUGCUGUCACCAAAACAACUCUUCAGCACGCCCUGGAGCUGAACGAGAUCUUAGCGAAUUUCCCAGGAGAAAUGCAGACUUGUCUGUCUGGGAGCAGGAUUUCUUGUCUCACUUUUAUUCCAUGGACCUUUACAAAUGGCCCACAGAGCAUCCAGAAGCUGGAAGUCACAGGCUGGAAACCAGUGGCACAGAUCUCCCAGAACAUGGGCAGCAUUCAUCCCCUGCCCCUGCAGAGAGCAGCUCCCAAUUAUCUGUCACUGGAUCCUGCUAACUGCAUCAGUAGAGGGCAAGGCAGAUUUUCAUCUCUCUGAACCUUCUCUGAACUCUCUUCCAACCAUUACAAAAGCAAUAUCAUAAGUGAGUAAAUUCAGAGGUGGCAGGGGAUGCUGCAGCGUCCUGCUGGGCCACACCAGCACAGCGGAGGAUUAACCCAAGCAGUCCUGCUGGACUAAAGCUCAGCACAAAUGCUCCUGAGCAGAGGCCCUCAAGGCCAGUGGGGUGAGGGGCAGAGGGCCAGCGCGGUCCCUGGGUGUCCCAGCCACGCUCAGGUGCCGGGGGUGCUCUGCCCCAGCCCUGGGCUCAGCAGUGCCAGGCAGUGCCUGCUGAGCCCAGCUCAGCCCCUCUGACUGCACCGAGCCUGCAGCAGCUGCCACACAAACUGCUCACUCUUACUGGAAGGUGGCUCAAGCACACCUUUGCUUUGCUCUCCUUGCAGCAGUAAGUCUUUUAAUUUCAUGCUGCCUCUCCAUUUCUUUUUUUGGUGUUUAAUACAUAGAUUUAUUUCCUA